UCCAUCUGUAAGGGUGUACCCUUCUGUAGAAGUACCUUGCCUUGCUGAGAAUUAAAAAGAAAAUUUUAUAUUCGAGUACUAGUUCUUUUGCAGCACCGAAACUUUAUUUAUAACAAUUUGGGGCCUCACCGGUGAUUACAUUAUCCUCCGGGGGCGGUCUCUGGUUCUCUCUUCUGAGGAGACAUGCCCCGCCCCCUUGUGGCGGCCUCGGGGGUGAGAACUCAAGACCCACUCAGUGCGAGGAAUAACCGCAGCUCUCAGCAACGCGCAGGGGAGGGGCUGGGGGGAGGGACUGGCCAGCAACCUAGCUUAAAGGAUCCUCAUAGACUGCAGCGACGAUUCUGUGCACAGACUAAGGAAGGAGAAGCUGCAGGAACCGUUUCCUGAGUUGCAAGUUUAGGCUCUUGGCUGUAAACAGUUCUUCUUUCCUAAUGAAAACAAGCUUAUGUUACUAUAGAAGAAUGAGAGAUCACCUGGGCAAAUAUAAGACAUUUUAGAUGAUCCAUAAUAGAAUUACUAACCUCCAGUCUGUCUGCCAGCUCCACAAAGACACAAGAGCAAACCCAGAAAUUCUGAGAACCUUCCUUGAAAUCAUUGAACAGCAAAUGAACAAGCUGUUGCCAACCUGGGGUAGAAGACAGCAGAAUUCCAGCAAGUUUCCUGAAUGGAUUCCCAUUCACUGCUCUUGUUAAGCUGUGGAAUCCAUGUGGCCAGACCUAUGAUUGCUGUUUUUCUUCUCUUUGGCCAGGACUUGGGAGAGCUCUGAUGGCUUUGUCAAACUUGUAUUUGUCCCUGGGGUAAAGGGCUUCAAUGCUGAGCAUCGAGCAUAAGGAGUUGGAGAAAGAGAUGUGGGUGAUUUACCUCUGCCAUAGAUAUCGGAUUGGCAAAAAUAAAUGAAUUUCAUCUGAAGAGAAUUAACACAAGCAUACACAUAUACACAGGAGUGCACAUAAAAAUUAAUCUUCAAGAGGAUAGAAACAGGGGAUGGUGUAGUUCCUGCCAUGAAGUACAGAUCAACUGGUACCAGAGAUUCAAAAUUGUGGAAUGGAUCAUGGGGAUUUCUCUCUUCCCUGUCAUAAAGAGUAAUUCAAUCAGGAAAACUGACAUGCAUUGUUGUAUUGUGGGUGCAACAGCUGAGAAGAUGAAAAAGACAUAGAGAAAGGGGAUAUUGGAAAUAAAAGGAUGUUAAAAUGAUAUAAUUUUUAAGAAGGUUGAGAAGGAAUAUGGGAUAUUUAUAUUCCUCUAAAUUUGAUAGAUAAUGAUGUCCACAAAGAAGAGUUUGCUGAAAUAAUUUUAAAUUUUGGUGAGCACAGACUAUCAAUGCCAAACGCAAUGGGUAAUUUUCUGUGUCAGCUUGGCUAGGCUGUGAUCUCCAAGUGUUUGUUCAAACAGCAAUCGUAGAUGUCCUUGUGAAGGUAUUUUUAGGUAAGAUUAACAUUUAAAUCAGUAGUCUUUGAGUAAAGCAGAUGACCUGCAAUAAUGUGAGUGGGUCUCAAAUUUGUUUUAAGUUGAAGGCCUUAAGAGAGAAAGAUUAAGGUCAUCCAUGAAAGAGGGAAUUCUGCUACCAGAUUGCAUUUGGACUCAAGCUGCAAUAUCAGCUCUUCCCUGGGUCUCCAACCUGACAGCCUGUCCUAUAGAUAAGAGCUUGCCAGUCCCCACAAUCACAUGACACAUGAGCCAGUCCUUUUUUUUUUAGCCAAUUCUUUAAAAUUCUUCUCCUCUCUCUCUCUCUCUCUCCCCCGCCUCUCCCUCUCUCUCUCCCUUCUUUCUCUGUGUAUACACAUGCACGCGUGCACGCGCGCACACACACACACACACACACACACUCAUCCUAUUAGUUCCGUUUCUCUGGAGAACCCAGACUAAUGUACUUCCUCAGUAAUUGUUUUAGCAUUCUGGAUUCUGUUACUUUACUAUCAGCCUUAAAAUUGCAAAAAGAAGAAGGAAAGUUUUAUCAACCAUUUCAGACACUAAGUUUUCAGCCUUUUGGGAUCAAGGAAAAUACAAUCCAUAUGUUUUGGACUCACUUGCUAUUAUCCAGAACAUUAUAUCGGAGAUGGUUUAAAAUUUCUGGCUGGUUCAAUAUACGCAAAUCAAUAAAUGUAAUCCAGCAUAUAAACAGAACCAAAGACAAAAACCACAUGAUUAUCUCAAUAGAUGCAGAAAAAGC
rnacentral:lncRNA from 1 species